UACGUAGGUGGCAAGCGUUGUCCGGAUUUAUUGGGUUUAAAGGGUGCGUAGGUGGUCUAUUAAGUCAGUGCUGAAAUAUCCCGGCUUAACCGGGAGGGUGGCAUUGAUACUGAUGGACUUGAGUAAAGUUGAGGUGGGCGGAAUUGACGGUGUAGCGGUGAAAUGCUUAGAUAUCGUCAAGAACACCUAUUGCGAAGGCAGCUCACUAAGCUUUAACUGACACUGAGGCACGAAAGCGUGGGGAUCAAACAGG
rnacentral:rRNA from 1 species